GGGCCCGCACAAGCGGCGGAGCAUGUUGCUUAAUUCGAGGCAACGCGAAGAACCUUACCUGGGCUUGACAUGUAGGGAAAAGCCGUAGAGAUACGGUGUCCUUCGGGGCCCUAUACAGGUGGUGCAUGGCUGUCGUCAGCUCGUGUCGUGAGAUGUUGGGUUAAGUCCCGCAACGAGCGCAACCCUUAUCCUAUGUUGCCAGCGGGUAAUGCCGGGGACUCGUAGGAGACUGCCGGGGUCAACUCGGAGGAAGGUGGGGAUGAGGUCAAGUCAUCAUGCCCCUUAUGUCCAGGGCUGCAAACAUGCUACAAUGGCCGGUACAAAGGGCUGCGAUCCCGCGAGGGUGAGCGAAUCCCAAAAAGCCGGUCUCAGUUCGGAUUGAAGUCUGCAACUCGACUUCAUGAAGUCGGAGUCGCUAGUAAUCCCGGAUCAGCAUUGCCGGGGUGAAUACGUUCCCGGGCCUU
rnacentral:rRNA from 1 species